rnacentral:rRNA from 1 species
UACAGAGGGGGCAAGCGUUGUUCGGAAUUACUGGGCGUAAAGGGCGCGUAGGUGGCCUUCUAAGUCGAACGUGAAAUCCCUGGGCUCAACCCAGGAACUGCGUCCGAUACUGGAAGGCUUGAAUCCGGGAGAGGGAUGCGGAAUUCCAGGUGUAGCGGUGAAAUGCGUAGAUAUCGUAAGGAAGACCAGUGGCGAAGGCGGGUCUCUGGACAGUUCCUGACGCUGAGGCACGAAGGUCAGGGGAGCAAACGGG